CGGUCCCGGUGGGUCGGUGCGGCGCGCGGAGUUCCCGGGAGAGUUCCGGCCGGAGCCGCGGAGCCCGCACGCCCGAGAGGCCCUCCGUGUGCCUUCCUCCAGCACCGGGCCGCUCUGUGGCGGGAGCCCCGCCGUCCGCAACCGCCGGGGACGCCUUUCCCACCGGGCAGCACAGCGAACCGGGGAGCUUCCCGCAGCCACCACGCUGGAGGCCCGCCUGAGCGCAGCGAGUGCCGCAGCUCCGGCCUCACGGAGCUACGCAGUUCUCGCCGGAGAGCAGACUUGAGAGUGGGGCCGGGGGCCAGGACGCGGUCAGGGCGGCAAGUUCACACUCAGAAGACAUGAAGGCCGAGAUGCGCCCAGUGCCUUGCGCCAGAGAGGCUUCCAACUGCACCAGCGAACUCGCCACAAGAAGCGCCUUGCGAGCACAGCCCGUGUGGGAAAACCUUCAGCCAAGGGCCGCAUCGCACUUAGCAUCACACUGCAGAAAGCCUUAAGUCGUGCAGGGGCUGUGUUCCCUCCUUCACUGUAGGGGAGGAGCGUGGAGAGAAUCUCUGAGAACAGCCUCUGAGAGGCUGCCGUGGGCCACAAGUCCAAUACCCACCCUGGGGAUAUUCCUUGUGAGCGCCAGGUGUGUGGGAGGCCGCUGAGGGCCAUGCUGCCCUUUCCCACCUGCCCAGGACCCUGACCACAGUUCCCUCUUGUCAGUGCCUGUGGUAAAGGCCGUCUUGUGGACUCUGCCUGCUGGGAGGGAUGCACUAGGGGACUUGUUCUGUUGUUGCCAGUUAUGGCAUGGGUGUGACUCAGCUUUGGUCAUGAGGGCUCAGUUGGGGUCUUUUUGUGGCUGACAGAGAUGGCCUACCUUUUUUCAUAGAUACUAUUGACCUCAUAUGACUUCUGUUGGAUUUGUCCAGUUUCCAAGUCAGACUAACAAAGGAACUGCCUCCCUCCCAUUAUUCUGCUGGGUAUGGGAAUAAAAGCCUUAUUGUUCAA